rnacentral:lncRNA from 1 species
CGCUGUGGCGGCGCGGAGCCCAACCGGCAGCGCCGUAGCGCACAGCGCAGCGCCCGGCCCGGCCCAGGUAACGGCGCGGGGUUCGGGGCGGGGGGUCGGAACGGGGCCGGCGGGGGUCCUGGGGGAGAGCGGGGCACAACGGGGGGCACGGAGCCCCGCUGGGUCGGGAGGGAGGGAAUGGGGCGCCGUGGGGUUGGCUGUGAGUGAAUGGGGGCGGAUGUGGGGCGGGCAGGGCCUGCUGUGGGGCCUAUGGGGCCUGUAGGGUCUGCUGUGGGGUUUGUAGGGUCUGCUAUGGGGCCUAUAGGGCCUGCUGUGGGGCCUGUAGGGUCUGUAGGGCCUGCUGUGGGGCUUAUAGGGUUUGCUGUGGGGCCUGUAGGGUCUGCUGUGGGGUUUGUAGGGCCUGCUGUGGGGCCUAUAGGGCCUAUAGGGUUUGCUGUGGGGCCUGUGGGGCCUGCUGUGGGGUCUGUGGGGCCUGCUGUGGGGCUUCUAGGGUCUGCUAUGGGGCCUGUAGGGUCUGCUGUAGGGCUUGUAGGGUCUGCUGUAGGGCUUGUAGGGUCUGCUGUGGGGCCUGUAGGGUCUGAUUGGGGUGUGUAUGGCCGGCUAUGGGGCGCAUAGGACAUGCUAUAGGGCACAUAGGGCAUGCUGUGUGGUGCAGAGGUUCUGUUUGGGGUAUAUAGGGACUGCUAUGGGGCACACAGGGCCUGCUGUGGGGUUUAUAGGACCUGCUGUGGGGUGUAUAGGGUCUGUUUGGGGUGUACAGGACCUGCUUUGGGGCACACAGGAACUGCUGUGGGGUGUGUAGGGUCUGUUUGGGGUGUAUAGGACCUGUUUGGGGCCUCAGGCUGCAGAGGUCGCGCUGUGGGGUUUUGGGGCUGGGGGGGGACGCGGUUCCUUUUGGGGGUCUGCGUGUUUGGGGAGGGGGGAACUCUGUGGUGCCAGCCCCACAAGUGCCAGCCCCACAAGUACCAGCCCCAUAGUGCCCCAUAGUGCCCCAUAGCGCCAGCCCUACAGUACCAGCCCCACAAGUACCAGCCCCAUAGUGCCAGCCCUACAGUAUCAGCCCCAUAGGGCCAGCCCCAUAGCGCCAGCCCUACAA